AGUUGCAGAAGUGUAGUGAAUGGACUGAAGGAUGAAUUUAAUAGGUGGAGCUCUGGUCAAAGAUAUAACUGUCUUGGUGAGUAUGGUUCCAAGAAAGCUGAGCCUUUCCUGUAAAGCAUGCAUGUUUAGCACCACCCAAGUGAAUUUGCUUUGGAGGAGAUGACAAAAGGAUUUAGUGAAAGCUUCAGUUACUUUCUCAAGAGGCUGAUGGUUGUGGCAAGUGGCAACCCAGAAAUGAGAAAACAAAUCCAAUACACCAUUAAGGUGAGCGUUACAUGCCUUUCAACUCCGUGGUAAAUGGGAUACAUAAUAAUUUAGCUUUCUGUUAUGGCGAUACGGUCAGCUCAAACGUGCAUAUGUGUGUGGUAGACAAGCAUGAAGCAACAUAAUCAUAAAAUAUUGUACACUUCAUCUUCAGCUUCAUUUCAACAUACAGAUUUUGCUGAAAUAAUCACUCGUAAGGGUGACGAUACAACUGGAAUUUUGUUGGUCAAAGAAGCUGGUCAAUUAUGUUCAUAACCAAAAUGUUAGGGGUAAAACUGGAAUUUUACUAAAAGGGUAAGGGGUAAGGUGGAAUUUAAGAGGUCAAUGCUAGUUAACUUACAACAAAUGGAAGUUAAGGGCCAAAGGAUUUACUGGGUGUCAUCGUUUUUUGAAUUUAGGGCAACAGUUUCUUUUGGCAAACCUCGUGGGUGCGUACGUUUUUAACCCAAACCCAAUCUAGCAGUUCACUUGUUAAUGACCCACUGGGUUCUUAUUUAAUAAUCUGUGAUCCGUUUAUUAUGUAAGAACUCAAACAUAACCCUUUGAAUUCAAUGGUAUCAUGGAUGAUAGCCUGAA